CGGGGCAGCGACGCAAUGGGCCUCUAGUAGCGGGUGUGUUCGCGCCCUCGCUCUAUAGCUUCUGGGUUCUGUUUCCACAGUUACAGCGGCGCGAGGCAGUGUCCCAGGUAAGGUCCCCGUAAAACUGAAACAUGAAACCUGAAGGACUGACGGCUGCAGGGCUUCGAGGAACAGGGAAGCAGGGACUAAUUCCGAGCUCGCUGGAGGACUGGCCUGCCCCGUGCGUGCCCCUCUUGCGGCUAUGGUCACCUCUGCCCCACGAUUCCCCUAGGAUGCUAUCCCGUCCACAAGCUCCCUUCGAACUCACGACUGUCCUGGACUCCCAACACCCCUACCCCUAUCUCGCCCAGCUCCUGACCUCACUCUUCUCUGUCCUGAAGUCGCCAAGAUGCAGCUGUUUGUCCGCGCCCGGGAGCUGCACACUCUUGAAGUGACCGGCAUAGAGACAGUUGCCCAGAUCAAGAUAAAGAUAAUAGAGUAUCCCUGAGCCACCCGCCUUUUGCCAGUCCUCCUGUGGCUUCCUCAGAGAACACUCGUGACUUUCUCUUUUCCUUCCUAGGCCCAGGUAGCCUCCCUGGAGGGCCUCACCCCGAAGAUAAGGUCGUGCUCCUGGCAGGUUCUCCCCUACAGGAUGAAGCCACUUUGGGUUCCUGCAGUGCAGGUGGCGUGUCCAGCACCAGGCUCCUGCAGUGCCAAGCAGUCAGAUCACCCAGGAACUGGCGGCUUCUCCUGCUUCCUGCUCCUGGCAGUUAUGUACUGGAGUCCUGCUGAGACACCUCCCCAUGAGCAGAUUCCCUUCAUACCCUAGAGGGCAGAUUUCCAGCAAAUUCUGCCAGUGUAACACUAAAGCAGUUUCUCUGCUGUUCCAUAAACCUGAACCAUGCCCUCUCCAACAAGGUCUGGGUUUUAGCCCUGGGGUGGGGAACCCCUUCCUUGGGCACCUACUGCAGUCCUGGGGGUAGUAUCUGCUCCAUAUACCUGCUAUUUUGUUAGCAUUUUUCUUAUUCCUGCUAUAGUUAAUUCUUUAUAUUAAAUCUUCCCUGUUCAA